GUCAACCUACGGGGGGCAGCAGUGGGGGAUAUUGCACAAUGGGGGAAACCCUGAUGCAGCGACGCCGCGUGUGGGAAGACGGUCCUCUGGAUUGUAAACCACUGUCCCCAGGGACGAAGAUGACGGUACCUGAAGAAGAAGCCCCGGCUAACUACGUGCCAGCAGCCGCGGUAAUACGUAGGGGGCAAGCGUUAUCCGGAUUUACUGGGUGUAAAGGGGGCGCAGACGGCGAUGCAAGCCAGGAGUGAAAGCCCGGGGCCCAACCCCGGGACUGCUCUUGGAACUGCGUGGCUGGAGUGCAGGAG
rnacentral:rRNA from 1 species